GGUUUACAAUUAUUUGGAAGCAACUACGACGCCGUACUUUGUAGUUAACAAAUUGUAUUAACAGCUGAUAGUAUUGUAAAUAAAAUCAGUCGAGCCACUGUCGAUCACGUUGCUUAGCUAGAGGAUCAAUUGAAAAGGGAACUCUUUAAUCCACUUCCGAACGCGAGAGAGUCGUCAAAUAGCCGUCAAAAUGGUUCACACAAACGUCAACGGUUCCCUCAAGGGUCCUUACCAGGAAGUCAAGAAAGACAAGCUCACAGUGAAUAAUCAGAAAUCUUCCAGUCAAGUGAAAACAACUAGCAAGGACGACAAGUACGGUGCCUGGGGACCGGUCUACAAGUCUAAGCAGAAUUUCAUCGAUAUGCACUUCUCUUGAAAAUCAAUAAUCCAAUCGAUCGGUGCUAAUAAUCACGACUACGCUAUGCCCAGAAUGAUACAGUAACUGAGUGAUAAAACGUGAAUCAUAAAAAUUCAAUUUUCCAAAUUGUCUCAAGAAUGAGUGAUUCAAGUGAAAAUCUCAAGUGAAUUUUUAAAGAAAAGAAUAUUCCAUUCUACGAAGAAAGGUCUCUUGAUAUUUUUACCAAAUCGCCUAUUCCCAGUCGAAUAAUCAACCGAAUUACAGUUAAUGACGCAAUUUUGCAAUUGUGAUGAGUAUUUUUACGAAAAAAAAACAUUUUUCUUUCAAAUCACUGGCAAAAUAAUUGUUACCGAGAUGAUUCCCACUAACGUUUUAUCACUUUACUGGACAAUUCAACAAUGUUUAAUUCAUAUGGAAAAAAACGCCAGUUAAUUAACACGAUUUUACUCAAAAAUUCAAUUCCUUUGCACUAAUAAUGACUGAGCAGCUCGCGACUCAUUAUUUCUUGCAACACUUCAUCAUUUUUGGUAUGUACUUUGGAAGUGUACAAAAUUGCGGUUGUAGAAGAGAAAAGUCCUAGUCAAAUACAAGUUUCCGCCGAGAAAAUCAGCAUAAAAAAAUUCUCGUUCAUCAGAAAAGACGGCUUUUACCUUAAAUUAUUGUAAAAAUGUUUUUCCCCACUCAAUUGGAUCCAAUUAUUUUCAUUAUACGUUUAUUGUUCAUUUAAUCAAUUAAAUGCAACAUCACUAGGCAGUUGAAUAGAAUUAUUCUCUUUUAUUAAUAACGAUGAUGGAUAAACCUUCAGUUUGAAUUCGUCAAAUUGUGCAAGGAAAAAUGGGCUCAUCAACGUGAGGACAGUGGCUCGACGAUUCUAAUCAUUAUUUUUUAUAUUAUGAUGUAAUUCCUUGAAUUUUUAUAUUACUUCUCUCGCUCUAAUUCACAUUUAAUGGAUAUCGUCGGGCCCUUAUGAUUAUUAAAAAUAUUAUGCUCUCAUAUGCGCUUUCUUGGGAUAGUGUCCAACAUUUCAAUCGACAUUUUGAUUGUUUUUUUCUUCGCUAAUAACUUUUGCGCUUUUUUUGUUGAGAUGAAGGGAGAAAUAAAGGUGAUGGUUUUUGUGGACUAAUACACACGCGAUCGAAGAUU